rnacentral:rRNA from 1 species
AAAACUAGUAAUAAGAAGUCAGCCCUUCUCUUCAAUGCAAACUUACAUCAGCCAGGACAUCCCRCUGAUUUUUAACGCCCCUAAAAACAUUGUAAUAACUAAUCAAGAAAAUAUUACCCACCAUAACGUUAACCUAACACAAGAGCAUUUUAAGAAAGAUUAAAAGAAAAAGAAGGAACUCGGCAAAUAUUAGCCUCGCCUGUUUACCAAAAACAUCGCCUCUUGACUUAUUAUAAGAGGUCAUGCCUGCCCAGUGACUCUGUUCAACGGCCGCGGUAUCCUAACCGUGCGAAGGUAGCGUAAUCACUUGUUCUUUAAAUGAGGACUAGUAUGAAUGGCCCCACGAAGGCUACACUGUCUCCUUUUUCUAAUCAAUGAAACUAAUCUUCUCGUGAAGAAGCGAGAAUAAUUUUAUAAGACGAGAAGACCCUAUGGAGCUUUAAACAACUGAAAUAUUUGCUUUUAUAUUCCAUUCUCCAGAGUUUACUAUUACAUCCAAGCAUUUUAAUUUCUAGUUUUAGGUUGGGGUGACCACGGAGUAAAAUUCAACCUCCAUGACGAACUAAGCAUUUUUCCUCUAAGCCACAAGCUACCACUUUCAGCAUCAACAAAUUGACUUACAUUGACCCAAUAUUUUGAUCAACGAACCAAGUUACCCUAGGGAUAACAGCGCAAUCUACUUCAAGAGCUCAUAUCGACAAGUAGGUUUACGACCUCGAUGUUGGAUCAGGGUAUCCUAGUGGUGCAGCCGCUACUAA